CGGCGUCAUUAUGAAUUAAUUAACAUUAAUUCCCUGUUCUGGUAUCUCCUAUUGCCAGGAGCCUUAGCCUGGGAUUUAUUUUUUUUUUUUCCCUCCCCCCAAAUGGGAACGGCCAGGUCCAGGCUAUGCCUGGUGGAAAGCCGGGGGAGGCAACAGGGCUAGGGGACCAUGGGGUCCCUUGUCCCUGUCCCCAUCCUUCAGGGCAGGUGGCAUUGGGGCAGGGGAAGGAUUUCCUCGUUGGCUCUGGAAAGGCCUGAUCCUGCCUCCCCAGCUUGUGCUGGGGGCACCAGGGAUGCUGCUCCCUGGGAUGCUAAUGCCAAGGGUCCUGUCCCCAGGGAUGCUGUCCCCAGGGAGGUUAUAUGGGGGGUGCUGUCCCCAGGGGUGCUGUCCUCAGGUAUUCUGUCCCUAUGGAUGCUGAUCCAGGGAUGCUAAUGCCGAGGAGGCUGACCCCGGGAGGCUGACCCUCUGCAUUUUCAGGGACGGGGACGUACCCAUAGCGGGUGGGAGCAGGCUGGGAGUGAGGCCGGGAUCCUGUGUCCCCCCAGCUGGUGUUCAUCCUGCUCCCGGAGGGUGACAGCACCCAGGAGCCCCAUCCUGGCCACCGGGCUCUGUUCCCAUGUUUUCACCUGCGAGGUCAUGGCCAAGGAACACGGGGGAGGGGGGAUCAGUGGGGUGUGGGCGCAGCGCCCACCACCUCCCACCCCACACCACCACCACCCUUGUGCCCCCACACAUCCCCCUACCGCUGCCCCCUGCCACCACCUUCCACAGGGCCACAGCGACCCCAGGGCCACCCCGAGCCCCCCGCACCCCUCGCAGCACAGGGCUGAGGGGCUGGGGAUCCCCACGGUGCUCCGCGAGCCUCAGGGACCGAGGACACGUCUGGAAGUGAGCCACUGAAAGAAACGCCAGGAAAAAUAAGCCUUGGGUAGCAGCUACUCUUUUCGUGCCAGUUUUGGCCUUCCCAAAUGGAGUUCUCUCAUCCUGGGGGGGCCCCAAAGGGCCCCCCUGGUGCUCAGCGUGCCGGGCUGAGAACGCCCUCCAACUCAUCACACCCGGGGGCCAGCUAAUCUCCAUCUGACAGCGAGUCAUCCUUCCCACCGCGCUGCAGGCUGUAAUGACAACGUGCUUAAAGGGGCUGAUGAAUUAAGUGCAUCUUAUAAAUGCAUCAAAUUCCCGUAUAAUUACAGCGCGAUGGAUUAUGUGUGGUGCUGAAGGGGAAGCAAUUCAGCGAGGCGAAGGAAUUACAGUCAGCGAGGAGAGGCCCCGAAGCCGAGUUGCGCGCAGCUCAGCUCUCGUGGUGCUGUACGGCCAGGGCUGGCGCGGAGCUGCCGUGGAGCAGUGCUGAGCGAGUGCCGGCACAGAGGGCUUGUCCCAGCUGCUGCUAAAGGGUUAAGGGAGGCAGGCUGGCCCCAGCGGGCUCCGGAGGGGGCUGGAGGGGAUCGUGCUGGGCUGGGCUCCGUCCCCUCUUCUCCUCUUCUCCCCAGGAGGAGAAGACCCUGCUGCCCGCAGGCUGGCACGGGUCAGCAAGGGUCUGGGGGCUUUGUCUGCUUCUUGUCGUGACACCCUGCUGCUCUGUGCACACACACGGGUGCUCCUGUGUGAUACGGCAGUCAGCAGCUAGUGCUUGAGCAGCUGAAAGACGAGAGACUCUGAUUUUCCUUUCCUUUCCUUUCCUUUCCUUUCCUUUCCUUUCCUUUCCUUUCCUUUCCUUUCCUUUCCUUUCCUUUCCUUUCCUUUCCUUUCCUUUCC
ensembl:lncRNA